rnacentral:misc_RNA from 1 species
GAUUUUGAGAUGCAUUGAUGGCAAUCUUCAAUGGACAGGAUUCGUGUUUCCUCAUCGUCCACACCAGCCUCAGCUAUUAAAGCCGAUGUUGAACCCAACUUUUGAGGUAUCAAGUUUUGGACUGUCCUCUUUCUCGGUAUCCCGUUUUAGACCUCCAUUCAGGUCUCUAGAAUAACCUCCCUCCAGAUCAUCAGAGGAAGAUGCAGUAACUCUUGAAAUUUCUUGUUUCAGUUUCUCGUACUUCUCAAUCAACAAUGGUGAGCUCAUAGCCUCCGCAAGACUUUGCUUG